rnacentral:lncRNA from 1 species
AAAAGCUAGAUCAUUUAAGAGAGAAGCAAGAGAGAGAAGUUCAAGGAAGUGAGUGCAUUCAAGUGAAGAAGUCAAGUGCUUUCAAGCUUCCCAAGCGAUUUCAAGCUCAACCACUCUCGCGCGCUCGGGAUUCAAAGCUCACACUCAAACCUACGCGAUCCACAUCGGAAGAAUCAUCAUUUCCUACGCUUCCAACGGCAAAAGGAUUCUUCCGGGUUCUAUUGUUCAUCAUUGUCUUAAUUGCUUAUUUAGAGCUUUUUUAAUCCUUUGUAAAAUCUUCUAUUGUGGUGCUUGUUCCAGUCAAGGGACUUGGAACAAGGGAAAGGCGUCCCAAGCCUAAGUGUAAUUGGGGGUUUUAGGGUUUGUUGUUAGCCCGGUGUAAAACAACGAGUUGGGUAGUGAACUCGCAAAACUACCGUACUGUAAUCGUGGAUUAUAGUGGAAAUU